rnacentral:lncRNA from 1 species
AAGCUUUGAAAAAUUCACACAAGUUCAUGACCUAGAGCAGUUGUGUUCUACCCCAAUUGUGCAAGCGCAAAUAGACUUCAUGCUUUAUUGAAGAUUGUCGAAGUAAACUAUCUUCUUCAACUGUAUUUGAAAAAAAAGACGAGAAGAGUGUUAAUGUACAGUCCUAUUUUCUGGUUAAGCUGCUUGGCAUGAGUUAAGAAUGGCAAUUCUUAAUUCGAGGCGUUGUUGCAAUUAAAUACAAUAGUGAAGUGACGAUAAAGUCAAGACCAAGAAUGUUUGAUUCCAUUUCUACAACAAAUCAAACAAGAAGAAAACAAGGGAGUUAUUUUCAGAAAUCUUUUGAUUGUUUUUGUUAAUUUUGCAAAGUUACAAAAUUGAGACUGUUAUUUUUUAAUCAUUUGAUUUAGUAAAUUAUUUUACUCGUGGCAUCGAGUUUGUGGAUG